CUACGGCAGUGAAGUCAUUGAUGCCAUGCUUCCAGGAAAAGCCUCUAAGCUUCAGAUAGUCAGGAAUCGUACCCCAAACCGACACAGGUGGUCGGGUAGAGAAUACCAAGGCGCUUGAGAGAACUCGGGUGAAGGAACUAGGCAAAAUGGUACCGUAACUUCGGGAGAAGGUACGCUCUUGAUGGUGAAGUCCCUCGCGGAUGGAGCUGACGAGAGUCGCAGAUACCAGGUGGCUGCAACUGUUUAUUAAAAACACAGCACUGUGCAAAAUCGCAAGAUGACGUAUACGGUGUGACGCCUGCCCGGUGCCGGAAGGUUAAUUGAUGGGGUUAGCGCAAGCGAAGCUCUUGAUCGAAGCCCCGGUAAACGGCGGCCGUAACUAUAACGGUCCUAAGGUAGCGAAAUUCCUUGUCGGGUAAGUUCCGACCUGCACGAAUGGCGUAAUGAUGGCCACGCUGUCUCCACCCGAGACUCAGUGAAAUUGAAAUCGCUGUGAAGAUGCAGUGUACCCGCGGCUAGACGGAAAGACCCCGUGAACCUUUACUACAGCUUGGCACUGAACAUUGAACCUACAUGUGUAGGAUAGGUGGGAGGCUAUGAAGACGUGACGCCAGUUGCGUUGGAGCCGUCCUUGAAAUACCACCCUUGUAUGUUUGAUGUUCUAACUUAGACCCAUUAUCUGGGUUGAGGACAGUGCCUGGUGGGUAGUUUGACUGGGGCGGUCUCCUCCCAAAGAGUAACGGAGGAGCACGAAGGUGGGCUAAUCACGGUUGGACAUCGUGAGGUUAGUGCAAUGGCAUAAGCCCGCUUAACUGCGAGAAUGACGGUUCGAGCAGGUGCGAAAGCAGGUCAUAGUGAUCCGGUGGUUCUGUAUGGAAGGGCCAUCGCUCAACGGAUAAAAGGUACUCCGGGGAUAACAGGCUGAUACCGCCCAAGAGUUCAUAUCGACGGCGGUGUUUGGCACCUCGAUGUCGGCUCAUCACAUCCUGGGGCUGAAGUCGGUCCCAAGGGUAUGGCUGUUCGCCAUUUAAAGUGGUACGCGAGCUGGGUUUAGAACGUCGUGAGACAGUUCGGUCCCUAUCUGCCGUGGGCGUUGGAAGAUUGAAGGGGGCUGCUCCUAGUACGAGAGGACCGGAGUGGACGAACCUCUGGUGUUCGGGUUGUGUCGCCAGACGCAUUGCCCGGUAGCUAAGUUCGGAAUUGAUAAGCGCUGAAAGCAUCUAAGCGCGAAGCGAGCCCUGAGAUGAGUCUUCCCUGA
rnacentral:rRNA from 1 species